rnacentral:rRNA from 1 species
UACGUAGGGUGCAAGCGUUAAUCGGAAUUACUGGGCGUAAAGCGUGCGCAGGCGGUGAUGUAAGACAGUUGUGAAAUCCCCGGGCUCAACCUGGGAACUGCAUCUGUGACUGUAUAGCUAGAGUACGGUAGAGGGGGAUGGAAUUCCGCGUGUAGCAGUGAAAUGCGUAGAUAUCGAGAGGAACACCAGAGGUGAAGACGGGUUGCUGGGCCGACACUGACGCUGACAGCGCGAAAGCCAGGGGAGCAAACGGG